GACGUAGGGGGCUAGCGUUGUCCGGAAUCACUGGGCGUAAAGAGCUCGUAGGCGGCCUGUUAAGUCGGGUGUGAAAGCCCUCGGCUCAACCAAGGAAUUGCACUUGAUACUGGCAGGCUAGAGUCUAGUAGAGGGAAGUGGAAUUCCCGGUGUAGCGGUGAAAUGCGCAGAUAUCGGGAAGAACACCGGUGGCGAAGGCGGCUUCCUGGGCUAUGACUGACGCUGAGGAGCGAAAGCUAGGGGAGCGAACAGGAUUAGAUACCCCCGUAGUCC
rnacentral:rRNA from 1 species